AGAGUUUGAUCCUGGCUCAGGACGAACGCUGGCGGCGCGCUUAAUACACGCAAGUCGAGCGAGAACCAUGGCUUCGGCCAUGGGGACAGCGGCGAACGGGUGAGUAACACGUGGGUAAUCAACCCCCGACACCGGGAUAGCCCGGGGAAACCCGGAUUAAUACCGGAUGCCCCAUCCGGCUUUCGAGCCGGCUGGAAAAGGGUAGCUUCGGCCUCCGGUCGGGGACGAACCCGCGGCGGAUUAGCUUGUUGGUGAGGUAAGAGCUCACCAAGGCGACGAUCCGUAGCUGGUCUGAGAGGACGAUCAGCCACACUGGGACUGAGACACGGCCCAGACUCCUACGGGAGGCAGCAGUAGGGAAUCUUGCGCAAUGGGCGAAAGCCUGACGCAGCGACGCCGCGUGAGGGAAGAAGGCCUUCGGGUUGUAAACCUCUUUCAGGAGGGACGAAGCCACUCGGGUUAAUAGCCCAGAGGGUGACGGUACCUCCAGAAGAAGCCCCGGCUAACUACGUGCCAGCCGCCGCGGUAAUC
rnacentral:rRNA from 1 species